AGCAGUAGCCACGGGAAUACGAAGGGGGCUAGCGUUGUUCGGAAUUACUGGGCGUAAAGCGCACGUAGGCGGAUCGAUCAGUCAGGGGUGAAAUCCCAGGGCUCAACCCUGGAACUGCCUUUGAUACUGUCGAUCUGGAGUAUGGAAGAGGUGAGUGGAAUUCCGAGUGUAGAGGUGAAAUUCGUAGAUAUUCGGAGGAACACCAGUGGCGAAGGCGGCUCACUGGUCCAUUACUGACGCUGAGGUGCGAAACCGUGGGGAGCAAACAGGAUUAGAGACCCCCGUAGUCCCUGUCUCUUAUAC
rnacentral:rRNA from 1 species